AUCCUUUUAUUUUUUCAUAAGCAUGAUGAUUGGGUGUUCAUGCUGUUGUGUGACGUGUGCCUCCCACAAACCUUGUUACGCUCUGGCAAAUAACCUGCCUGAUG